UAGUCCCACACAGCCCAAAUAUCCCCAAAAUCUGAGACCUAACCCAGUCCACCCGCUCCAUCCCACCAGACCCCCCUCCGCCGCCGCGACCUAUGGCUCCAUCCCCUGUCCCUGCCGCCGGAAGUGAAGGUGUCCUCAUCCACGCGCUCCCGGACCCCCAUCCCUGCUGCCGCCGGUGAAGGUAUCUUCGUCAUCCUCGCGCUCCCCCUCGCUGCUGUCACCGUCGUCCGUGCACACCGCCGUGCGGCCCGUGCCCCUCAACCCCCUUCCAUCCCUGCCACCACCGGGGUCGCGGCUGCCAAUAGCUCCGACGCCGACCUCAGUCCAUCCGCCGCCCUAACCCCCGCCCUCCACCACGUCCCCGGCCCCUGUUUCGGCCGUCGCCGCUCCUUUUCUCUCCUGCAAAGCCCCUUCUGCAGAUCCAUCAGUCGCAUGCCCGUUUCUGCAGAGCGGCAUCGUCUUGGCCAUAUCUCUCCAAGCGCUGCAGGCCAGAGGAAGUUGUCUUUGCUUGAUUUGGGUGGAUGGGUUGUUGUCAUCGUGAUGCAACAGAGGAAUCAGCACUGGCCACGAGGAGAUUAGAGGCUUGAGAUGGAUGCUACGAUGGUGGUGGCAAAGUUAGGAGCUUGAGAUUUACAGGGACGAGGUGUAUGAUAGCACAGAUUAAUGUUCAAGUCUUCAUCAGCAGCACCUUGACAUGAAUCCUAAGAUCCAUCGGCAUUAUUUCUUGAUUAUUUUCUAGGGAAGAAUCCGAAGAUGAAUUGUUUGUUUAUUUUUUAACAGAUUUCAUGGCUUAGCAUCUUAUGUGUUCCAUCUAACUCUACCUGCAAUUUAUAUCUACUCCAAGUACACCACAUUCAGAAUUGAUAUACAGCCUACAGUUAGAUCAGUUCAGAUUUUGCCAUGACAAUAUUACCCGUAUUAUUCAUGAUUCCUCCGUUGUGUAUAUCACUGUAGAAAACUACCUCUAUUCCAUAAUAUGGUUGUAUAUAGCAAAAUAGUUGUAUAAGUCUUUUAAAUUUACGUUCUUCUGUACAUUGUCCUCUACUACCAUUAAUUUUCCCUUUUUCCAAAUUGAAAUUUGAAAAGAGCAUGAGUUUUGAUAGGAUUUUGUAUAUCCUUCAGUUGCUUGCUGUAACAUGUGCCUUCUGGUACAUUGAUGUUGAUAGAAUCAUACCAUUUUCCUACAAUUUCUUCAUCACAAAGAUGUUCUAUUUGUUUAGUUUGCACCAACAUCCAGCUGAAUGUUUAUAGGAGGGUUAUUAGUAAAGCAAAUAUGUUCAUGAGGAAAUGUACCGGCAAAAAAAUCGAGCCAAAGUGUAAUUCAAAGCUGAAAUAGAAUUUUUCUCUGUUGCAAUUGGAAGCAUGUCACAUGAGUAUUGAGCUGCCAUUAUCUACAAAUUCUUUAUUUGUUGAUAUGAACAUUAGUUGCAACAUGAAUAAUCAAUGUUAGUCGACAAUGUUGCUUCAUGUGCAUGAGCAUAUGGUGUAUCUCUGACACCAUUCAUUUUGAACCACUAAAAUAAUAGAAGUGGUUUGAUUCGUAAGUUAUUUUACAGGUUUCUAUACAACACUUAUUUGUUUUGUAUUCGCUGCAACAUAUGGACUUGAUUAAAAAAAAAAGGGCAACCUGGUGCAUGUAGCUCCCGCUUGCGCAAGGUCCAGGGAAGGGUCCGACCACUUUGGGCUUGAUUGCUUUUCGAAAAUGUCGAACCACUAGAACCACUAAAAUAUGUACGCCCUGUUGCAAAACACGGCCCUUGUGCUAGUACAAACAUAACUAACUACAUCCUGUUCAUCCCCAUCCUGGCUGGAAGUAGUAGAGAGAUGAGAGUUGAAUCUUACAGUAUGAUGCAUACUUUAUGAUUUUAUUUAUGGUGAGCCGAGUUAUCUAUAUUGAACAUAUUUUUCUUUUUUGCGGGAUGGUUGUUACAUGUUUGCGCAUUUUUUCAGAGCAAUUUGCAGUGGAAGAAGCAACCUCAUAUUGAUAAGAAGUCAAUGGUUAUUCUAUGAAGUAGCGGUUAUUGUUGUAGCUCAAGGAUGACAAGGCAACUAAUGUGCCCAGGAGGUAAUCAGCCACCUAGUACACAUGGAUGUGAUGACUUUGGAGUGUUAUAGAGCAUUUGGCUGUACCAGCCAACUCAAUUGUAAUCAUGAAGCUUAUGUGUGUUCUGGACCAUUUGGUGCUUAAGUGUUAUGGAUUACAAAUCUUGUGCUCAUGGAUGUAACUCAAGUGUUUUGGACCAUUUAGCAAAUAGGGGUACUUUUAUGUGACUUGUGUUUCCUGGAGGAUUGUAAGAUGGACAAACUUUGCUAUGUCAAGAUUGACUUGUGUUUGAGCCUGUGAUCAAUAUAUAUGUAUUUUUGGUACCAGAU